UCCUGAACAAUCUGGCUUCAUUGUAAUGAGGUUAAUGAUCUUUGAAAAACCAUGAUUAUGAACAUACAAUUACUUUGUCUUGAGCUGAUCAGCAAACUGUGGUAGUGUUGGUUGAUUGGUGUCUAUAUUUGUUCAAGCUUGACAACCUUAUGACUUUAUUUUCUAAUAUAUAUAUUUCUCAUUACAGAUAAGAACAAAGAUUAAAUUGCAAGAAGGGUUGCUUAUAAAAGGAUACAGUACAUCUGAAACUGCUGAGGCUGAUCAGCUGCUAUAGAAGACAAAAUGAAAUCUGAGUGCAGAGACAAGCAAAGGAAUACUGCAAGACACUACUGACUAGGCUGUGCCCAGGUCUCCGGAACCUGCGACGACGCUCAGCUCCAUCAGCCCUCCGUCUGCGCCUUCGGAUCCACCAGCUCUGUCUCCAUCGGUCGGCCCCCAGAUGUUGGCAGCCACACCAUCUACAUCUUGGCUCCUCCCUCCCUCGACUCCGCCGUGUGUUGUCAGCACUGGGAUGCUCUGGGUCUGUGCCAUGUGCCAAACACCAUCUAAGCCGCCAGGGCAUCAUCGUCAUCCUCUCAUCACCAUCCCUACACCAUCUCCUUGUCCACCUCCAAAACCCCUCCAUCCCUCCCUAUUCUGUUGCUUGAACUUUAUCUUCUUCAGUCUUUGCACACACAUCUAUUCACUUUACAUGUUUUUUUUUUCUUCAGAAAAUUGCAUUGUAAUUUUUAUUUAUUCAUUGAUGUAAAAUUCUUUACUUUUCAGUAAUACAGGUAUAACUGAAAUGUUCUACAAAUGGAUAAGA